UGCCAGCCGCCGCGGUAAUACGGAUGGUGCGAGCGUUAAUCGGAAUUACUGGGCGUAAAGCGCGCGUAGGCGGUUUUGUAAGUCAGAUGUGAAAGCCCAGGGCUCAACCUUGGAACUGCAUUUGAUACUGCAUGACUAGAGUCCGGGAGAGGAUGGCGGAAUUCCCAGUGUAGAGGUGAAAUUCGUAGAUAUUGGGAAGAACACCAGUGGCGAAGGCGGCCAUCUGGUCCGGCACUGACGCUGAGGCGCGAAAGCGUGGGGAGCAAACAGGAUUAGAUA
rnacentral:rRNA from 1 species